rnacentral:rRNA from 1 species
CACCGCGGUUAUACGAGCGACCCUAGUUGAUAGAUGCGGCGUAAAGAGUGGUUUGGGGUAAAAAUAAAUAAAGCCGAAUAACUUCCCGACUGUUAAAAGUGUUGUGAAACUACUAAGACCAAUAACGAAAGUAGCUUUAAUAUAAUUUUCCUGAUCCCACGAAAGCUAAGAGA